UAAAAUAUUUUAUUUGCAUAAAACAAUGACUGAACCGGUUCAACAUUCAAUAACAAUUAAAAAAAAGUUAAUGGUAAAAGAAUCAAAGUGUUAUCAUCCAUGUAGACAGACAAACAAGAACAAACAGAGGACAAACAACUGUAUUCAGGUAACAGUGUUGAGUUGGCUACUUCAUUUAGGACAGCAACAGCAUUUACACGAAAUCAUACAGAUAUGUAAAAAGGUGAUAGAAAACAUUUGUACAAAUGCAUUUACAUUCUGCAAAACUGCUAAUACUAUUUGGUUAUUCACUGGACAUGGUACACAAAUAUAUUCAAACAAUAUUGCUGACCAAUUAAAAUAAACGGAAUUCUUGGUGUCCAAGUUAAGUGCUUGACCGGCACGUUUUGAAAAAAAAAUUUAGAUCCGAGAACUCAAAAUAGAUUAAAAUUCUAUCUCACUGAAGAUGCUACAUUCUAGAAAACAUGUAUUUUUAUGAAAUGACCUCAAACAUUGAAAUUGCCCCAAUUCAUGUUUUAAAGUAUGACAUCUUAAUGAUAGGCAAUAAGACCUAAGACAUAAAUAGUAAAGGGUGCAUUAAAAACGCUUCAAAUUUUAGGCUCCCAUAAUCUUGUCUCGUGUGUAUAAAAGUUCAAUUCAUCAACAGAGUAACAUAUCGGAAAAGCGUUGGUGACACUGUAGUGGAACAAGAUGAAAAGACUGGUUAGGGAUCACCACAGUAUGUUAUUCUAAAUUAAAUCAUGGAAAACAGAGUGUUCUAGAAUAGUUUCCGGCAGAUGACAGGGCAUUCCAGAAAACGCAAAAGGACAAAAGAAUUUUCCAACAUAAAGAAAGGAAAAAUGAGGUCAGCUGACGUGGCUCGGUUGGAUUUCCAGUAUCUCUUCAAAAAAGUUCACAACAACAAAACUUUAUAUUUCCAGGGAAAAUCCCUGAAAACUGCUUAUAUAAGUAUGCAAGACCACAUUGUACAACUGAUUUAGUACUCAGCAAUUGAUUUAAAAGAGGGUCAAAAUCAAUACAUUAGGAGCGCUGAUAAUAUCUGACCAACAAAAACAUUUUCAAUCAUAAACAACAAUACACUACUAAUACAGUGAACAAACUCAUCAUUCCAGUCACUGUAUGAUUUUUCAACCUUUCAAAAACUAACUUCAAUAUGACCCAUUACAGGAAGUGCUGUGCCAUGUAACAAGAAAAAAUAAAAAUAAAAAAAGACAAGGCAAAUAUGACCAAGUCUUCGCCCAAAACCUUCACCCUUAUCUCAGAGGUGUGCAGCGGCCUUUCACUCGACAUCUACUUCAAAGCAAAUUAUUGACGUUCAGGCAUGCUAAAUCAAUGGAAUGGUAUAUAUUCAUCUAAAGGGUACUGAAAUAAUCAUUAUUUGGGUUGACUGAAAAAGGAGGACAGAAUGAACAAGAAAUGCGGCAUAGUUCAUGAGCUACAACUCAAGAUAUCCUGUAGAUAUUGUGGAUUUGAAGAAUCAGGAUUCUUUGUUUUUCUUCACAAGGCAUAAAAAUUUAAUCAGAUUUAAGUGCACUCAUGUUUGAAGACUGUUAUUAUCCCUGCCAGGCCGAUAGCUUGGAGGGGAUUAUGUGUGUGUGUGUGUGUGUGUGUGUGUGUGUGUGUGUGUGUUUGCGAGAUUAGCCGCGGACAGAUACACAAACACACAUACUACUGGACCAUCCAUCCAUUAUCCAAACCGCUUAUCCUGCUCUCAGGAUCACAGGGAUGCUGGAGCCUAUCCCAGCGGUCAUUGGGCGGCAGGCAGAGAGACACCCUGGACAGGCCGCCAGACCAUCACAGAUACUACUGGACCUAUUACUCUAAAAUCUUUCAUGCAAUUAUCACUGUAUGAUGAAGAACCUCUCGUGGUUGUGGUUAUUCAAAACCUUUGAAAAGUGUUUGUUCUCGCUACCGCCGCUCCCUCUCUUUAUUCACUCUCUAGAUCGUUCAACCAGCACUGCUCUGUCACUGCUCGAUCUGAGUCAACCGUGCGCAUGCGCGACUCACAUCUACGGUUGACUUGGAUCAGGCAGCGACAUGAUCAUAAAUUUCGAUAAUCCAAAAAAUGCGAACGUUAUAAAGGAACAACUUCCUCUAUUUACAAUCAAAACAGGAAGAGUGUGUAAAUGGUUCACCCAGCUUUAUUAUAUUAUGAAAAUAAAGACAGGGUUAAACCAACAUGGUCGUAUUGCAAAUUUUUUUUUUCUUCUUUUUUUUUGGAAAGUGCAAGUUCAUAUUAGACUUGGUCAUAUUCGUGCAAAGGUCAGCUUGGGAGGCUGCACAUCCACAGACUGCAACACAUGCAAAAUGUUUUUAUUAGGUAGAUUUUUUAGCUUCAGUGCUGCAUAUUAAAAACUUUUUUCCCCCAUAUUUCCCAUUCAAUCAACUUGGGUGUUGCGUGAAAGUCUCAUAAUGGCAGGAAAAACACUGGUUUUUCUGCCCGUGUGUGUAUCUGUCAGCUGCUAAUCUGCAUGCUACUGCGCCUGUCAGCCUAAUAAUUUUUGUGCAGUUCUAACUGUAUGAUCAAGGACUUCUCGUGGCUGCGGUGAUUCAAAAACUUUGAAAAACCUGUUUUAUACCGCAAUUGAGUGCUAACACCUCAGCUGGUUUUUCCACCUAAGUCCGAGAACUGGAGAAGCUUCUGGCAGAGAUCUGCACUCCUCGAGUUUUUCUGAUUUCAAACCACCAAAAGCUGAUUUCACAUCAUUCAUGCAAGUGGUCCCCUUACUGAAUUCUUAAUAUUCCUUUUUUUUCUUUUUUUUUUUAAUGCGCACUUCAUUAUUGCUAUUGCAAGUCUCUUAUUUGCAAACGGAAAUCUGAGGUAUGGACCCACUGCAGGCGUUUGUUUUUUUUUGUGUUUUUUUCCCCUCCAAAGUACGAAUGCUCCGAGUGUUGUUAUGCAGCUAUUUGAUGCUCAGGAACACCAACUAUUCCUGGCUUCCUGGUUGUGUUUGACCACGUGCCCAUUCUUCCAUUCAUGGCCACAGUAAAAAGCAAUGGCUCACUUCGAUGGCAGUGAACCAUUGCAAAGACUGACCAAACUUUAAUAUGGUGCCAUACUACAGGAAGGAAUUAGUGGGUCAUAAAUGAGCCCAGGAAUCUGGGCCAAAAGGGGGGGGGGCUUUAUGCUACUGAAGCCAAACACAAACCAGUGUAGAAGCAGAACACCAAGUCAAUCGGUCAAGCGAUGCACGUCACACGCCAUCUGUAGCACGAACAGGAAGCAAAGUGCCAUUUUUAGCAACUCUGUAUUGUUUUUUUUCCUUAAAGAAAAUCCAAGUCUGUAGGAGUGUCAGUGUUAGAGGAUAGAGCAAUGAUCACUGCUAAAAUAAUCAAGCUUAUCACGGUAUUUUAUUUUGUUUUAAGUCUCAUAUGCUUAUUUCAAGAUAUUGCUAGUAACAUUUCCUUACUCUGCUGGCAGUUAAAGCAGCAGUAGAAAACUUUUUUUUGCUUUAACUUAUCAUUAUGAAGUAAAUGUUGAUUGCAUAGUGUAAUGGCUAUAGAAUAAUAAUGACACCAUCGGCAUUUGGAUUGGUUCCCUAUAAGCUUCGCUUUAGGUUUAUAGGGAACCAAAUUCUGCCUGCCACAAUCUCGCGGGAAAAUGAAGGCUCCAUUUAUGGCACAAAGGAAGUGCGUCAACCAUUGUGUAACCAAAAUAGAAAGAGGCUCGCGCUUUCGUUUUUCCUGGUAGCCAUUGGUAGCCAUCCUCAGUUGCGGAUAUGGUGGAACAACUGAAAUGAGAGUGGAAACACUACCCGGUAAGAGAAAAAGAACCCCGUUGACGGAGGAGGCAAAGAAGACGAAGAGGGAGAGUGACAGAAACAAGUAAAACAAGAGUGAACCUCGAUGGGCUCCGGUGUUGUAUCAAACUCUGUUUCCCUGUCGAGAUCUGUUUCCCCUCAGCCAGACAAAAGCGUUCGCAUGGAAACAGGUCAGCUAUCGGUUACGAUUAGGUUAAGUGUUCUGAGAAUUCGCAGGGGGUCAAGUAGACGCACGUCGUCGCACGGCUGGAUGCCACAAGUGAGGGGAUUUUACAUUGAAAUGAAUAGGAGCGUCCCUCUUGACGCACGUCUACAGGCACUGCAGCAGUGGGCAGCUGCAGCACCCAGGGACCAACUCCAGUUCUUCUUUCCGUUGCCUUGGUCAGGGGCACAGACAGGAGUAGUAACCCUAACAUGCAUGUCUUUUUGAUGGUGGGAGGAAACCGGAGCACCCAGAGGAAACCCACACAGACACGGGGAGAACAUGCAAACUCCACACAGAAAGGACCUGGGAUGGCCUGGGGUUCGAACCCAGGAUCUUCUUGCUGUGAAGCAACAGUGCUAACCACUGGGCCACCAUGCUGUCAAUGGAUUAUUUAUAUAUAAAAUAAAUUCAUAUUGUUAA